rnacentral:rRNA from 1 species
UACGAGGGGGGCAAAUGUUGUUCGGAAUCACUGGGCGUAAAGGGAGCGUAGGCGGGUUCUUAAGCAAGGUGUUUAAUCCCGGGGCCCAACCCCGGACCGGCACUUUAAACUGGGAAUCUUGAAUAGUGGAGAGGUCAGUGGAAUUGGGGGUGUAGCGGUGGAAUGCGUAGAGAUCCCCAAGAACACCAGUUGCGAAGGCGGCUGACUGGACACAUAUUGACGCUGAGGCUCGAAAGCAUGGGGAGCAAACAGG